UCGCCUGUUUAACAAAAACAUGUCUUUUUGAGUAUAAUAUAAAGUCGGGCCUGCCCUAUGAUGUAAAUAUUAAAUGGCUGCGGUAUUUUGACCGUACAAAGGUAGCAUAAUCAUUAGUUUUUUAAUUAAAAGCUUGUAUGAAAGGUUUGAUGAAAAAAUUUCUGUCUCAAUCUUAUUAAAUUAGAAUUUUAUUUUUAAGUUAAAAAGCUUAAAUAUUUAUAAAAGACGAGAAGACCCUAUAGAGUUUUAUAAUUUUUAAUUAAAUUUAAAUUAGUAUAUUAUUUAUUUAUCUUUAAAAAUUAUUUGAUUGGGGUGAUUAAAAAAUUAAUUUAACUUUUUUUUUAUUUUUACAUUAAUUUAUGAUUAUAUGAUCCUUAAAUUAAGAUUAAAAGAAAAAAUUACCUUAGGGAUAACAGCGUUAUUUUUCUUGAGAGUUCUAAUCGAAAGAAAAGU
rnacentral:rRNA from 1 species